UCUAAAAUUAUUGAUCGUCCGGACACACAACCUGUCCGGACACACUUGGUUUCCUUAUUUUUCAGGACAAAUGACCUGAUGGAAAAUAAUGGGAAAAUGUUAUUGGCCUCAAUUUUGGACGGUCAUAUUUAUCGCAUGGCAUUAGACGGAAAUGAACAACAUCUCGUAUACGAUGUCAAUGGUGAACAGCUAGUCAUCACUUGCGAUAGAGUCAGUGUAUAUGCCUUGCAUCCGUAAACGUGGAAACAACCAUGCAUACAGGCGAUCGAUAUCACAGGGGAAAAACACCGAAUCUUGAUCAAAAAUGCUCGUCUUCAAAUUGAGGGGCUUGUCUACUAUUCUGGCCAUCUGUACUGGACUAACACCGUUUCAGGCGUCCGGGACUAUGGGACGGGAAUAGGCAAGAUAUCGGUAGAGGCGAAUAAUACUCAAGAUUUUGAGUUCUUGUCCCAAUCCUGGAGUGGAUAUGAGAUUCUCGCACGCGAUGACCUUACCAUGGAGGACUUGAGGUAGGCCCGUGGAGAAACUGGACAAGAUGGAAGAUCGUACGGCAG